rnacentral:rRNA from 1 species
CACCUACGGGUGGCAGCAGUGGGGAAUAUUGGACAAUGGGCGAAAGCCUGAUCCAGCAAUGCCGCGUGUGUGAAGAAGGCCUUCGGGUUGUAAAGCACUUUUAUCAGGAACGAAAUCGGCAGGGUUAAUAACCGUGUCGUCUGACGGUACCUGAGGAAUAAGCACCGGCUAACUUCGUGCCAGCAGCCGCGGUAAUACGAAGGGUGCAAGCGUUAAUCGGAAUUACUGGGCGUAAAGGGUGCGUAGGCGGUUAGUUAAGUCUGUUGUGAAAUCCCCGGGCUCAACCUGGGAAUGGCAAUGGAUACUGGCUGGCUAGAGUGUGUCAGAGGAUGGUGGAAUUCCCGGUGUAGCGGUGAAAUGCGUAGAGAUCGGGAGGAACAUCAGUGGCGAAGGCGGCCAUCUGGGACAACACUGACGCUGAAGCACGAAAGCGUGGGGAGCAAACAGGAUUAGAUACCCUGGUAGUCCACGCCCUAAACGAUGCGAACUGGACGUUGGUCUCAACUCGGAGAUCAGUGUCGAAGCUAACGCGUUAAGUUCGCCGCCUGGGGAGUACGGUCGCAAGACUGAAACUCAAAGGAAUUGACGGGGGCCCGCACAAGCGGUGGAGUAUGUGGUUUAAUUCGAUGCAACGCGAAGAACCUUACCUG